GACGAACGCUGGCGGCGUGCUUAACACAUGCAAGUCGAACGAUGAAGCCGGAGCUUGCUCUGGUGAAUUAGUGGCGAACGGGUGAGUAACACGUGAGUAACCUGCCCGUGACUCUGGGAUAACUGCUAGAAAUGGUAGCUAAUACCGGAUACGACCCUCGGAGGCAUCUCCAGGGGGUGGAAAGAAUUUCGGUCAAGGAUGGACUCGCGGCCUAUCAGCUAGUUGGUGAGGUAAUGGCUCACCAAGGCGACGACGGGUAGCCGGCCUGAGAGGGUGACCGGCCACACUGGGACUGAGACACGGCCCAGACUCCUACGGGAGGCAGCAGUGGGGAAUAUUGCACAAUGGGCGCAAGCCUGAUGCAGCAACGCCGCGUGAGAGAUGACGGCCUUCGGGUUGUAAACCUCUUUUAGUAGGGAAGAAGCGAAAGUGACGGUACCUGCAGAAAAAGCACCAGCUAACUACGUGCCAGCCGCCGCCGUAA
rnacentral:rRNA from 1 species